rnacentral:rRNA from 1 species
CUGAUCGGCCACAUUGGACUGAGACCCGGCCCAAACUCCUACGGGAGGCUGCAGUAGGAAUCUUCCACAAUGGGCGAAAGCCUGAUGGAGCAACGCCGCGUGUGUGAUGAAGGCUUUCGGGUCGUAAAGCACUGUUGUAUGGGAAGAAAAGUUAAGGUAGGGAAUGACCUUAGCCUGACGGUACCAUACCAGAAAGGGACGGCUAAAUACGUGCCAGCAGCCGCGGUAAUACGUAUGUCCCGAGCGUUAUCCGGAUUUAUUGGGCGUAAAGCGAGCGCAGACGGUUGGUUAAGUCUGAUGUGAAAGCCCGGAGCUCAACUCCGGAAAGGCAUUGGAAACUGGUUAACUUGAGUGCAGUAGAGGUAAGUGGAACUCCAUGUGUAGCGGUGGAAUGCGUAGAUAUAUGGAAGAACACCAGCGGCGAAGGCGGCUUACUGGACUGUAACUGACGUUGAGGCUCGAAAGUGUGGGUAGCAAACAGGAUUAGAUACCCUGGUAGUCCACACCGUAAACGAUGAACACUAGGUGUUAGGAGGUUUCCGCCUCUUAGUGCCGAAGCUAACGCAUUAAGUGUUCCGCCUGGGGAGUACGACCGCAAGGUUGAAACUCAAAGGAAUUGACGGGGACCCGCACAAGCGGUGGAGCAUGUGGUUUAAUUCGAAGCAACGCGAAGAACCUUACCAGGUCUUGACAUCCUUUGAAGCUUUUAGAAAUAGAAGUGUUCUCUUCGGAGACAAAGUGACAGGUGGUGCAUGGUCGUCGUCAGCUCGUGUCGUGAGAUGUUGGGUUAAGUCCCGCAACGAGCGCAACCCUUAUUGUUAGUUGCCAGCAUUCAGAUGGGCACUCUAGCGAGACUGCCGGUGACAAACCGGAGGAAGGCGGGGACGACGUCAGAUCAUCAUGCCCCUUAUGACCUGGGCUACACACGUGCUACAAUGGCGUAUACAACGAGUUGCCAACCUGCGAAGGUGAGCUAAUCUCUUAAAGUACGUCUCAGUUCGGACUGCAGUCUGCAACUCGACUGCACGAAGUCGGAAUCGCUAGUAAUCGCGGAUCAGCACGCCGCGGUGAAUACGUUCCCGGGUCUUGUACACACCGCCCGUCACACCAUGGAAGUUUGUAAUGCCCAAAGCCGGUGGCCUAACCGUAAGGAGGGAACC